UCGGCGCCGUCCACAACUUCAUCGUGUGAGAGCUUCUGCUCCAGAUCCUCUUCCUCCGUGGUCCCCGCACGCCGUGACGACCAGGUCUGCAACCGAAACUGAAGCAUAGUGUUCUUGGAACCAAACUAAAGCAAUGCAACGAGAAGUACAAAAACUUGGGCUGAUGUACCUUGUCCUAUACCCACUUCUUUGCCUCGAUGUAGGAAUCUGAUAGAAAAAACAAGGUAUGUCCCUCCACAUAUUCAAGAGGAAAAUUUGAUUGCUGAAAAUGCUUGCGUUUAUAGAAUUUAAUUUUGCUAUAUGUUUAUUAUUUUAAUUCAAUCCAGUAUCUAUUUUUAGUUCAGUUCAAUUAUCAUUUUGGUUUAAGUUCAAGCCAAUUCUUAUUUUAUUUUAUUGUCUUGUGCUUCCAUCCAUUCUGUGAUCUAGAGAAGCUAUCGUGGUGUUAAUUUGUGUCUUCUGACUUGUGUAGUUUGAUUUCUUCGCACACUGUCUUGUCCAUGUG
rnacentral:lncRNA from 1 species